rnacentral:rRNA from 1 species
CCUACGGGAGGCAGCAGUAAGGAAUAUUGGUCAAUGGAGGCAACUCUGAACCAGCCAUGCCGCGUGCAGGAAGACUGCCCUAUGGGUUGUAAACUGCUUUUAUCCGGGAAUAAACCUGCUUACGUGUAAGUAGCUGAAUGUACCGGAAGAAUAAGGAUCGGCUAACUCCGUGCCAGCAGCCGCGGUAAUACGGAGGAUCCAAGCGUUAUCCGGAUUUAUUGGGUUUAAAGGGUGCGUAGGCGGCCUGUUAAGUCAGGGGUGAAAGACGGUAGCUCAACUAUCGCAGUGCCCUUGAUACUGAUGGGCUUGAAUGGACUAGAGGUAGGCGGAAUGAGACAAGUAGCGGUGAAAUGCAUAGAUAUGUCUCAGAACACCGAUUGCGAAGGCAGCUUACUAUGGUCUUAUUGACGCUGAGGCACGAAAGCGUGGGGAUCAAACAGGAUUAGAUACCCUGGUAGUCCACGCCCUAAACGAUGAACACUCGCUGUUGGUCGAUACACAGUCAGCGGCGUAGACGAAAGACGUUAAGUUAGUUCCGUAACCGUCGGGGUAGGUUACGGCCCGCCGAGGGUUAGGUAACGUUACGAAGUUAGAGUUAGACGGCGUUGAGACGUUGCCGACGGACGACGACGAGGGAGGUAGG